CGGGGCGUAGCUCAGCCUGGCUAGAGCGCUUGCUUUGGGAGCAAGAAGUCGGAGGUUCAAAUCCUCUCGCCCCGACCA
rnacentral:tRNA from 1 species